GAGAAAUCUCUCCUCCGUUUCUCCUCUCCUUCUUCACUCCCUCUUUUAUCUUUCCCUCUCUUCCGCUCGCCUGCUGUUCCUUACACCAAAACUAACGUUUUGCUUAGCUAUCAGAAAUACAAUCAAACGAAUGAAAAAUCUAAUACUUUUCUUGAAGUAACAGGGUAAACUAACAAUAAUUGUAUUGAUAAUGUUGUUAAUGAUAUUAUUGAAUAUAAUUAUGUUGUUUAACAUUUGGGCUCAUUUUCUUAUUUUUUUUAAUAGUUCAUGUUGUUAUAUAUUUGUAUUGUUGUUAAUUAUUUGCUAGGCCACCAUAUUACAGGAGACUAAAUAGACUAUUUGUUAGGAAGAAAUGUUACUUAAGUACCAAUACUUUUAGGUUGUGUAAUUCAGAUUUCUUCUUAAUUCUUGAUUAUCCAUAUUUUCUGUUUUUGGAGUGCUGUGAAAAAGUAUACUGUAUGUGAAAGGCAUGAUUUGCUGAGUACAUUUUCCAUAUAGUUGACAUCUUAUAGUGAAGGAGAAAGUACUUAUGUGGCAUCAUACUGGUUUGCCGUUUAGAUUUCUUGUUUUGCCUGGCAGUAUGUCGGGAGUAGUGGUGAUCUCAGAUACCGAGCGGGAUGUGCCUUACUGAAUCCACUACAAUCAUAAAGUUAUGAAGACUCCUCCUCCUAUCGGUAGAAAGGGUGUUCAUUCUGUAGACAAUUCCGUUAUUAACUAGUAAUUCAUAAAGUGGUUGUCAUGUUCUCUGAGAAUCCGCUUAGCUGAGAUUUUGCUUUAAACGAGACCCACCCACCUGAAAGGAGGAACAGUUGCAUCAUGGAAGAUGUAGUUUUCUGCUCGUUUCACUCGGGUGCUAGUCAAGAGGCUCUUAUCUCACCCUUUAGCGUUCCAUAAAUCAUUUGAUUUAACAUUUUAAAUCCCAACAUAUCACAAGUCCCCCUUAUAUACCCAAAGGUAAACUAUCAAUUAUAAUUUUUGUAUUGUUUAAAAAAAAAAACUUGGCAUAAAUGCAGUAUUUGCUAAACAUAUGUAUUUCCCCUUGUAUUCCUAUAUGUUGCUGGGAAGUGAUUGAAUGGAGUUGGUUUCAAUUGGACUUGACAGUUGUCUGCUUUUAAGAUCGGGUCUUGAUGGUAUGUUGGAACAUGGUCUGGGAAUGGAGAGACGGACAGCAGGACGUGGUAGUUAUUUCAUUUUGUAUCAGGGCAGUAAGCUGUUGCUGUUGCAUUAGCGAGACACAGUUAUUAGAAGGGGGAUGAGUGGGGAGUGGUGUGCUGUGAACACAGGGAGGAAAGAACGUUUCAGUUGGUUUAUUCAUUUCCUCUCACCCAAUCACUGUGCUGUUACUGUACUGUAUACUGUAUGUCUCUCCUUAAUUCACGUCAAGGACUUGAUCAAACCACUAAUCAUGUUUGACUUACUUAGAAUGUGUUAGAAUUUCUGAGAUAAUUCAGAUAUCACUAAAGGUGGUCACUUGAUAUGGGGGUUGGGGCAAAAAGUCACUAUUUCACUAUUUGUUAGUUUUUUUUCUUUCCUUGUGAAUACCAACACAAAUCAAUCACUUUAUACAGGACACACAAGACAGUCUGGAUGUAACAUUCAGUAAAUCUCAGUAAACUUUCAACGUUUUUCCGAAGAUGAUUAUGUGGCAACUUCCAUCAAUGGCUUGAUACAUAAGUAGGAUAAAAGGACAAUAAUGUUUGUAAAGCUUGAGUACUUGACCAGGGCAUGAUUACCAUUAGCCUAGUAUUAGCAAGAAUCUCUGCAUUAAAAAAUUAAACCUUAUUUGAAUAAUUCUGUCUAUUUCACCCAGAACAACCACUUUUCAGCUAUCAGGGCAAAUAUAUUAUGAAUUUACAAAUGUGAUUGAAGGCACUGGACAGUAUUUUCCUUUUGGAAAAUAGUCCUCACAACUGUCCUGGAAGGUACUUGGUGGAAGGUGGAGAAAAGCUAACCGAUGCCAUGAUUAAAAUGAAGGAAAAAAUCGUUGAAUCUCCACAUAGUGUGGAAAGUAACGUUUUCCCCCCUAUUCUAUAAGCAUUGAGUCCAGUGGUUUGUUUAUCAUGCCUUUGCCAAUGUCUCUGGGUCGCUUCCAUCAAUGACAACCUCAUGUCCAUAUGGAAGAUGACCUCAAAGCCACAACGUAUCACAGACAGAUAUCCAGGUCCACGCUGUAUUUGUGUUCACCUCCAUGUAAUUGUUGUAAUAUACAAUUUAGGACCAUAUCUUCAUUUUAUUUAUUCUAUUUAUGAAUUACUAUGAGUUAUAGCUGUCUGAAAUAUUACAUUUCUAAGUGAUUUGUUAUUUUGCCAAACCAAAUUGUACGAUCUAAGCACAAUCAGUGUUAUUGAUUAGUUGAUCAAUACUUGUACAUCCCUAUUGACACUUGGAAAGAUUUUUCCUUCUUUCAUGACUGACAAGUCAGUGUGUAUGAUAUCGAGUCAGUGUAUAAGGACAUGUGUUCGUAAGGACAUGCAUGCAUCAGUGGAAUUGUUUUAUUUUCCCUUUUUUACUUAGACUCUAUUUUAUCCCAAAAGUGGGUGUUUGGGACUGAUAUCUGGACGUUUUAAUCAAUUUAAUUGAUUCUGAUCUUUGUUGGUGUGUGUUUGUCUCUGUAAAAAGACAAAUAGAUUUUUGCUCUCAAAAUUGUCGUUAUUUUAAAAUAUUUCAAAUUCCGUCAACAGAAUUGUCAAUAGGAAUAAUUGCUACGACAGAAAUAGAUUCAACAGAUUUAUUAUGGAACCAGAAGAAGUGUAAGAAGAGAAGUUCAGGCUUCUCUGCUCCUCUUGAUGAUUGGUUGUAAAUGCCUGUGAAUGAGGUGAAGGUAUUGGUAUUAUUAAAUGCCUGUGAAUGAGGUGAAGGUAUUGGUAUUAUUAAAUGCCUGUGAAUGAGGUGAAGGUGUUGGUAUUAUUAAAUGCCUGUGAAUGAGGUGAAGGUGUUGGUAUUAUUAAAUGCAUGUGAAUGAGGUGAAGGUAUUGGUAUUAUUAAAUGCCUGUGAAUGAGGUGAAGGUAUUGGUAUUAUUAAAUGCCUGUGAAUGAGGUGAAGGUAUUGGUAUUAUUAAAUGCCUGUGAAUGAGGUGAAGGUAUUGGUAUUAUUAAAUGCCUGUGAAUGAGGUGAAGGUAUUGGUAUUAUUAAAUGCCUGUGAAUGAGGUGAAGGUAUUGGUAUUAUUAAAUGCCCGUGAAUGAGGUGAAGGUAUUGGUAUUAUUAAAUGCCCGUGAAUGAGG